rnacentral:rRNA from 1 species
UACGGAAGGCAGCAGUGGGGAAUAUUGCACAAUGGGCGCAAGCCUGAUGCAGCCAUGCCGCGUGUAUGAAGAAGGCCUUCGGGUUGUAAAGUACUUUCAGUCGUGAGGAAGGUGUUAAGGUUAAUAACCUUAGCAAUUGACGUUAGCGACAGAAGAAGCACCGGCUAACUCCGUGCCAGCAGCCGCGGUAAUACGGAGGGUGCGAGCGUUAAUCGGAAUUACUGGGCGUAAAGGGCACGCAGGCGGUUAAUUAAGUUGGAUGUGAAUCCCCGGGCUUAACCUGGGAAUGGCAUUCAAGACUGGUUAGCUAGAGUCUUGUAGAGGGGGUAGAAUUCCAUGUGUAGCGGUGAAAUGCGUAGAGAUGUGGAGGAAUACCGGUGGCGAAGGCGGCCCCCUGGACAAAGACCUGACGCUCAUGUGCGAAAGCGUGGGGAGCAAACG